UCUCUCCAACGUCUCUCGAUCUCCUUUCUUCCUCCAAGUGCGCCCCAAAACCCUCUUCCUCUCACUCUCCACAUCUCCCUCUCCUUCUGUCUCUCUCGAUCUCCCUCUCCCUCCAAGUGCGCCCCAAAACCCUCCUCUCCCUCACCCUCUCCCUCUAUCUCUCUCGAUCUCCCUGUCUAUCUCGAUCUGCAUCUCCGUCCCCCUCUCGAUCUCCCUAUCUCUCUCCCUCUCUAUCUCUCUCUCGAUCUAUCUCUCCCUCUACAGCAACGGCGCAUCGUCUCCAGUAACGGUGCAUCCUCUCCAGCAUCAUCUUCACCACUCUAAGUGCGGCUAGCAGCCCCCACCCUUCACCUCGUCCCCGACCAUUUCUGGUUGUGUUGUCAUGGGCCUCUUUGGUAAAAGUGUGCCUAAAACAGCAGGUACACUUGUUUUUGGAAGACAUGGUCUUCAAGUUUUUCAGUUCAUUUACUUUUGUUCUGCAAUUUUGUUUUCCUUGCAAGUUGCAACCCAUUGCCAUUUUGUUGAUUGUUCCAGUGCUUUCUCAUAUGGCUUUUGGAUGUCACCUAAUCUCUAUUUGUUUUUUGUCAUUGCUAUAGAGAAUUUUCGAGCACUUUGCACAGGUAAGCCAACACCGUGUCAUUUUAAGUGUUAGGUUAUUCCUUAAGUUUAUGUUAUACUGAUGCAGAUACUUAGAUUUGGACUUCUUUUCUCAUUACAAGAAGUUUGUACUCAAAGCAUUGUUGAUAUUGAAAAUAGUCAGUUGUAGUCAGGGUUCAAAUUAUCAUUUGAACACAUUACAAUUUUUUUUGCAAUACAUUACCAAUACCAACAUAAUUCAAUUUUAUCAAACAUUUUUAUCAUAUUGCCCCAUGGGUGUAUCACAAUGCAUUCUUACAAUACAUUCUGCUAUUUUGAGCCUUCAUUGCAAUAUGUGAACUGACGUUAAUUGUAAUACUGAGACUCUUAGUUGCACUAUCUAAACAUGUGCUGCUCCCACUUCAAAUCAAUAAUUCUGCUAUUUAGCCUUGGUUGCAAUAUGUGAAUGGAAAAAUCACUUUGUUUUUGGCCCAAGGGAGCCAUUUCUCAUUUUCUUGUUGUCUCACAAACUAAAUUAGUAGUGCACAAGUGGCCAUUAGCAUCAAGUCCCUGAUUUUCAUACCCUUUGCUGACUGAUCUACUAUCAAUUUUUCUGUGCAAUAUUUUAAACUAUCAUUUGCUUUCAAGUUCUUUAUAUUGCUUGAAUGCCUGACUAUCUAUAUCUAUACAACUAUUAUAAAAAGUUGAAUAAAAUUUUAGACUUUUAAAAAAUAAUUUAUUGUUUCAGAACUUUUUCUUGAUUAAAAUGCUCCUUAUGAUAAUUUAUCUGCACAUGUGCACAUGUAAAUCCAAAUCCUCAGUUGUAUUUGAUUGAAAUGCCCUGAAAUAUGCAUCUUAUAUUUGAGAGCUUGUAGCAAAAAAUGACGAAAUUCCAAGCCUUGGGUGAGCCUUAAACAUUAGGAUCAUAAACGAGUGAUUACCGACAUUUUUUAACUAUCCAUUUAGAUGUCCAACGUUUAAAUGGUUUAGAUCAUUCUAUUAAUGUGAUUUUAGUGUUGCAAUUGUUAUUUGGAUUGUCUUGGAGUAUCAUCAACCUGCCAUGUGUACAGUGGAUUAUUAGCCUAAUGACACCUUUGUUACAUUUGUGAGCAAUGCUCCAGCCUUCUAAAAAUACAUUUCAUUUAGAUUACACAGGAAUCACAUCAUUUUGUUGAUGUUUCAAAACAUAUUAAAAAAGUUUCCAUUUACCUUCAAAACAAAGGCUGCGGAACGCAAGAAAUAACUACUUGGUUUUAAAAUAUACCCAUUUAUCUCCAAACCAGCAGAAGUUACUAAUCAUCUAACAAGUGGUCUCCUAUAUAGCUAUGGUUUACAUUCAACAUAAAAUGGACGAAAGAUAUAAACGAUUUCAGAUUGGGUAUCAUCAAGCCAAAAUCCCCUUUAUGGGCUCAGGCUGUUGUAGCUAAGUCAGUUUUUUUUUUUUUUUCCUUGUAUAUGAUAAAGAUCUUCUUUACUGGUCAAUGUCCUUUUCAUUUGCUUGCUUUCAUUGGAUAAAUAGAUUCAUUAAAGAUGGAUGCUUUUGCCAUUCCAGUCCCUUUUUUCAUUUUUUUCUUGUUAUCUCUAGUCUUAUACCAGCAUAGUAUUUUACUAUGUUAAAGUGAAUGUACUAGUACGCACUAUUCGUACUCUUGUAUUAUUGUUCCAAGUGUGUACAUUUACUCUUUUUUCUCUUUUUUUGAGAGGUAACUUUAAUUUUUUUCAUUUGAGCAACUUUUACUUCUUUUCCUGCAGCCUUGGUAUGCACAUGGUAUUGCUGAAGCCAUAUUACGCACAGGUGAGAAUGUGGAUGCAAUCUGGACCCAUUUUUUAAAAUGUCAUAUUCAUGUGGCUUAUAUUUCCAUUGGGUGUAAGUAAGUGAUGUUUUAAAAUCUGGACGCGAUUUGGACCCAUUUUUGUGGGCAGUUUGGUCAAACUGGUCCAACCAAUGAAGUCAACAUAGUGUCAUAUUUGAAUUAAAUAUAAAUACAAAAAUGGGGAAAAAAGAUCCUAGAUAG